rnacentral:rRNA from 1 species
AGCGCCGCGGACUGACGGAAUAGUCCGUUGAAGGGUGUAGAUGUUGAUUAUCCCAGGCAAAUCCAGGAUAAGAGUCGAACCUGAUAGUAUGGAGCGUUCUUCGGAACAAUCCAAUAGUGCGUGUAAGCAUACUCCCAAGAAAAUCCGCUAAACUUAAUCCUUGAGGUACCCGUACCGCAAACGGACACACGUAGUCGGGUUGAAUAUACUAAGGCGCUUGAGUGAUUCACGGUUAAGGAACUAGGCAAAUUGACCCUGUAACUUCGGGAUAAAGGGUCCCAACGAGAGUUGGGCGCAGAGAAUAGGUCCAGGCAACUGUUUAACAAAAACACAGGGCUGUGCAAAAUUGAAAGAUUACGUAUACAGCCUGACACCUGCCCGGUGCUGGAAGGUUAAGAGGAGAUGUCAUCGCAAGAGAAGCAUUGAAUUGAAGCCCCAGUAAACGGCGGCCGUAACUAUAACGGUCCUAAGGUAGCGAAAUUCCUUGUCGGGUAAGUUCCGACCUGCACGAAUGGUGUAAUGAUCUGGACACUGUCUCAACCGUGAGCUCAGUGAAAUUGUAGUAUCGGUGAAGAUGCCGAUUACCCGCGAUGGGACGAAAAGACCCCGUGAACCUUUACUAUAGCUUAACAUUGAAUUUGGGUAAUUGAUGUGUAGGAUAGGCCGGAGACUUUGAAGCAGGUACGCCAGUAUUUGUGGAGUCGCUGUUGAAAUACGGCCCUUUGAUUAUUUGAGUUCUAACUCGUAGU